GCCUCUCACUUUUCCCAGGGCGGAUGCGCCUGCGCUCAGCUGCCUGGGCGGGCUGGGAGGCGCGGGUUGAAAAGUCUCGUUCCAAGUUUGGAGAGAGAGAGAAGAGCGUCUCAGACCUCGGUACCCGCAAUCGGGGAGGAGGUAGGAGAGAAGGACGCGGCGUCUGGGGAGCACCCAGGCUGAAAGACGGAGCUGAGGCUUCGAGAGCUGGAAGUGUGUGACGCGCCUGGGAAAGGCAGGAGCGCCUACUGUUGGGCUGCUCUUGGCUAGCGAGGGGAGUCCGAGGCGGCGGCGAGGGGCAAACGACCCGACGCAAGAUGGCGAGUAAAGAGAUGUUUGAAGAUACUGUGGAGGAGCGUGUCAUCAAUGAAGAAUAUAAAAUCUGGAAGAAGAAUACACCGUUUCUGUAUGACCUGGUUAUGACCCAUGCUCUUCAGUGGCCGAGUCUUACCGUUCAGUGGCUUCCUGAAGUGACUAAAAUUUGGUGGCUUUGGUUCUGUAACAGGAAAAAUUGAAUGUGAAAUUAAAAUUAACCACGAAGGAGAAGUAAACCGUGCUCGAUACAUGCCGCAGAAUCCUCACAUCAUUGCUACAAAAACACCGUCUUCUGACGUGCUGGUUUUUGACUAUACAAAGCACCCUGCUAAACCAGACCCAAGUGGAGAAUGUAAUCCUGAUCUUCGGCUAAGAGGCCACCAAAAGGAAGGCUAUGGUCUUUCCUGGAAUUCGAACUUGAGUGGACAUCUCCUAAGUGCAUCUGACGACCAUACUGUCUGUCUGUGGGAUAUCAAUGCAGGACCAAAGGAAGGCAAAAUUGUGGAUGCUAAAGCGAUUUUUACUGGCCACUCGGCUGUUGUAGAGGAUGUGGCCUGGCACCUGCUGCAUGAGUCAUUGUUUGGAUCUGUUGCUGAUGAUCAGAAACUUAUGAUGUAAGGUGGAAAAUUCAGUGGGGUCUCAUUAUGGGAUGUCCUGAAUGACCGUCAGUGAUUGUGCUGGCCUGUGGUUGGUUGGUUGGUUUUUCUUUUUUUAAUUUAUAUAUGGCCUGCAAAAAAAGACAAAACCCAGCUUUAGUGAGGUCCAAUUGAUAGAAUGAUAAACUGCCAGUAGGUAUGGGCUUUUAAAAUUCAAAUUACUGUUCUGUAUGAUUGAACACAACUUUGUAUUUCGAAAAAGAAAGGAGAACAGGUCUGUAAACAUGAGGAAGGCCGCUUGGGGCAGUGGUAUAUAUAUAUCACAGGUGGGAUCAAGGUGGCUUCCUUUGAAGCCGAGGGAGAAGAGUGAUUGUGUCAAGGCCCGGCCCCAGGGCUGCCUUCAUUCAGCUGCCUGACAUGCUUUUUAUUUCAUGAACUCAUGUCGGAGGCAAGCAAGACAAAAUACUGAAAUUUGAGAAGGCCAGCUAGGUUUUAGGUAUCAAAUGGUUACCUUGUUUUCAGCGUAGUAUAUUGCGGAUGCUGGGAAUACUUGGAAGUCCAGGGGGGACCUGAAGGAGAAAGCCGCAGUGGCCGGGGUUUGUUUGCUGUAGGUUUAGAGCCUACCCCUUGGGUUGGACUCUGCGUGCUUGGGGUCUCUGAAGAGGCGAGUGUGCGGAGAGCAGUGGUGUAGACGCUGCUGACGGGGGCGCGGGAGAGAGGCGGGGCGGGGUGGAGUGGCCUGCUUGUGUCCUGUGUGCCUUGUACCCCUGUGUUGUAGAUGGGACACCAGGUCCAAUACCACCUCCAAGCCGAGCCACCUGGUGGAUGCACACACCGCCGAGGUCAAUUGCCUGUCGUUCAAUCCCUACAGCGAGUUCAUUCUCGCCACUGGCUCUGCGGAUAAGACUGUAGCUUUAUGGGACCUGCGUAAUUUAAAAUUGAAACUCCAUACCUUCGAAUCUCAUAAAGAUGAAAUUUUCCAGGUCCACUGGUCUCCACAUAAUGAAACUAUUCUGGCUUCAAGUGGUACUGAUCGCCGUCUGAACGUGUGGGAUUUAAGCAAAAUUGGAGAAGAACAGUCGGCAGAAGACGCAGAAGAUGGGCCUCCAGAACUCCUGUUCAUUCAUGGAGGACACACUGCCAAGAUAUCAGAUUUUAGCUGGAACCCCAAUGAGCCUUGGGUCAUUUGCUCAGUGUCGGAGGAUAACAUCAUGCAGAUAUGGCAAAUGGCUGAAAAUAUUUACAAUGAUGAAGAGUCAGAUGUCACAACAUCGGAACUGGAGGGGCAAGGAUCUUAAACCCAAAGUACGAGCAAUGUUUCUCUUGAAUGUAAUGCUACACACAUGCUUGGUUUAUCAAGCGCCAACAUGGCAUUGUAUAGUAGGAAGUCUCAGUGGUGGCGUAUGGCGUUCUUUACCUUCUGAUCCUAGCACUUUGAGUGAGCUGUUGCGUACUGUAUCAUAUUGUAGCUUUUAGGGAAGAAAGAAAUGUUGCUUAAGAAAGAAAGAUCAGCGUUGUUUUAAAAUACGAGUAGCAGGGGACUGCCUUUGAUUCAACUAUUUUAAGUCUUGUUUUCUCAAACUAAGUGCUUGCUGUUCCCAAAUAUGCAAGAAUAACUUUUACACUUUUUCCCUCCAACACUUCUUGAUUGGCUUUGCAGAAAUAAAGUUUUAAAAUAAA